CCUACGGGAGGCAGCAGUGGGGAAUAUUGGGCAAUGGGCGCAAGCCUGACCCAGCAACGCCGCGUGAAGGAAGAAGGCUUUCGGGUUGUAAACUUCUUUUCUCAGGGACGAAGAAAGUGACGGUACCUGAGGAAUAAGCCACGGCUAACUACGUGCCAGCAGCCGCGGUAAUACGUAGGUGGCAAGCGUUAUCCGGAUUUACUGGGUGUAAAGGGCGUGUAGGCGGGACUGCAAGUCAGAUGUGAAAACCACGGGCUCAACCUGUGGACUGCAGUUGAAACUGUAGUUCUUGAGUACUGGGGAGGCAGACGGAAUUCGUAGUGUAGCGGUGAAAUGCGUAGAUAUUAGGAGGAACACCAGUGGCGAAGGCGGUCUGCUGGACAGCAACUGACGCUGAGGCGCGAAAGCGUGGGGAGCAAACAGGAUUAGAUACCCGUGUAGUC
rnacentral:rRNA from 1 species